rnacentral:rRNA from 1 species
GACGAACGCUGGCGGCGUGCUUAACACAUGCAAGUCGAACGGAAAGGCCUGCUUUCCCUUGUGGAUUGCGGGUACUCGAGUGGCGAACGGGUGAGUAACACGUGAGUGAUCUGCCCCUAACUUGGGUAUAAGCCUGGGAAACUGGGUCUAAUUCCCGAUAGGACUGCAGGGUGGUGCCUGUGGUGGAAAACGAUUUUCUAGUGGUUGGGGAUGAGCUCGCGGCCUAUCAGCUUGUUGGUGGGGUAAUGGCCUACCAAGGCGGCGACGGGUAGCCGGCCUGAGAGGGUGGACGGCCACAUUGGGACUGAGAUACGGCCCAGACUCCUACGGGAGGCAGCAGUGGGGAAUAUUGCACAAUGGGCGGAAGCCUGAUGCAGCGACGCCGCGUGGGGGAUGACGGCCUUCGGGUUGUAAACUCCUUUCGACCGCGAGGAAGCCACCUGGUUGGAAGGGUGGUGACGGUAGUGGUAGAAGAAGCACCGGCUAACCACGUG